GAUGAACGCUGACAGAAUGCUUAACACAUGCAAGUCGAUGGGGAAGUGGUGCUUGCACCAUGGUAACCAUGGCGGACGGGUGAGUAACGCGUAAGGAACUUGCCUGCGGGACUGGGAUAACAGCAGGAAACUGCUGAUAAUACCGGAUAAGGUCAUUAAGCUGCAUAGCUUAGUGAUGAAAGGAGACGCCUGCGGAGAGCCUUGCGUCCUAUUAGCUAGUUGGAGGGGUAACGGCCCACCAAGGCGAAGAUAGGUAGCCGGCCUGAGAGGGUGGACGGCCACAAGGGGACUGAGAUACGGCCCUUACUCCUACGGGAGGCAGCAGUGGGGAAUAUUGGACAAUGGGGGCAACCCUGAUCCAGCAAUUCUGUGUGCACGAAGACGGUUUUCGGAUUGUAAAGUGCUUUCAGCAGGGAAGAAGGAAGUGACGGUACCUGCAGAAGAAGCGACGGCUAAAUACGUGCCAGCAGCCGCGGUAAUACGUAUGUCGCGAGCGUUAUCCGGAAUUAUUGGGCAUAAAGGGCAUCUAGGCGGCCUUCCAAGUCAGGGGUGAAAACCUGCGGCUCAACCGCAGGCCUGCCUUUGAAACUGAUAGGCUGGAGUACCGGAGAGGUGGACGGAACUGCACGAGUAGAGGUGAAAUUCGUAGAUAUGUGCAGGAAUGCCGAUGAUGAAGAUAGUUCACUGGACGGUAACUGACGCUGAAGUGCGAAAGCCGGGGGAGCGAACAGG
rnacentral:rRNA from 1 species